AUAGUGUAUUGUGGUUGUUUCAGUCCAGAUUGACUCCAUCUGUAUGAUUUACUGCAGGCUAAUACAAUUUUUAUGUCUUUUCAGGUUCCAGCUUGGUUCUCGCUUGCUUCCCCUGUGGAAACUCACGCGGGGCGGAGGCCCAUCCCACGUCUGCUGACAGCGGUUCUGAUGAACGGGGCUCAGCAGUGGAGGCUGGACAGCAGGAUCAAAGAGCCGGACACGCAUGAAUCAAACAUGGAGGGGGAGGAUGGAGGAUGAGGGAUAUGGAGAAAUCCCCUGGGUUUGACUUAACAACCGGAGAAGCACUGAGUGGAAAGCAGCCCACUGUAUGGAGAUGGAGAGCUCAAACCGUCUCCAUUCAUUUCAAUGUACAACUUUUACCAGUCCAAUAUUUUUAAUAUUUUUAUUUUUAUGCCCAAUUAAACACUAAUAUGUACUACACAA